rnacentral:misc_RNA from 1 species
AAGUCGUAACAAGGUUUCCGUAGGUGAACCUGCGGAAGGAUCAUUAACACUUUUGAAAGCAUCCAAUAUCAACAAAUCACAACCAAACGGUCAACUAUCUCCUCCCUAUUUCGCACACCGGAGACGGUACGAGUAGGCUAACAUGUAAAUAACAAGCUCAAGCAAUUGCGCAUGUUAUUUUCAAACACAAGAUAACCCCUUUUAAUUAUAUUAUUCAUUUAAUAUAAACGAACAACUCUUCGAAUUUGCCCUUGAGUUGAUUUUAUUCAAAUCAAGAACAAGUCCGAACUAAACUAAAAUAUACAUUCGAUAUAUUUUUAUUUUACGAAAUAAUAUAUAUUUAUAAGAACAACUCUUAGCAAUGGAUAUCUUGGUUCUC